CACGUAGGGUGCGAGCGUUGUCCGGAAUUAUUGGGCGUAAAGAGCUCGUAGGCGGUGUGUCGCGUCGGCCGUGAAAACCUGGGGCUCAACUCUGGGCGUGCGGUCGAUACGGGCAUCACUUGAGUUCGGCAGGGGAGACUGGAAUUCCUGGUGUAGCGGUGAAAUGCGCAGAUAUCAGGAGGAACACCGGUGGCGAAGGCGGGGUCUCUGGGCCGAUACUGACGCUGAGGAGCGAAAGCAUGGGUAGCGAACAGG
rnacentral:rRNA from 1 species